rnacentral:rRNA from 1 species
UUAAGCGACUAAGCGUACACGGUGGAUGCCCUGGCAGUCAGAGGCGAUGAAGGACGUGCUAAUCUGCGAUAAGCGUCGGUAAGGUGAUAUGAACCGUUAUAACCGGCGAUUUCCGAAUGGGGAAACCCAGUGUGUUUCGACACACUAUCAUUAACUGAAUCCAUAGGUUAAUGAGGCGAACCGGGGGAACUGAAACAUCUAAGUACCCCGAGGAAAAGAAAUCAACCGAGAUUCCCCCAGUAGCGGCGAGCGAACGGGGAGCAGCCCAGAGCCUGAAUCAGUGUGUGUGUUAGUGGAAGCGUCUGGAAAGGCGCGCGAUACAGGGUGACAGCCCCGUACACAAAAAUGCACAUAUUGUGAGCUCGAUGAGUAGGGCGGGACACGUGGUAUCCUGUCUGAAUAUGGGGGGACCAUCCUCCAAGGCUAAAUACUCCUGACUGACCGAUAGUGAACCAGUACCGUGAGGGAAAGGCGAAAAGAACCCCGGCGAGGGGAGUGAAAAAGAACCUGAAACCGUGUACGUACAAGCAGUGGGAGCACGCUUAGGCGUGUGACUGCGUACCUUUUGUAUAAUGGGUCAGCGACUUAUAUUCUGUAGCAAGGUUAACCGAAUAGGGGAGCCGAAGGGAAACCGAGUCUUAACUGGGCGUUAAGUUGCAGGGUAUAGACCCGAAACCCGGUGAUCUAGCCAUGGGCAGGUUGAAGGUUGGGUAACACUAACUGGAGGACCGAACCGACUAAUGUUGAAAAAUUAGCGGAUGACUUGUGGCUGGGGGUGAAAGGCCAAUCAAACCGGGAGAUAGCUGGUUCUCCCCGAAAGCUAUUUAGGUAGCGCCUCGUGAAUUCAUCUCCGGGGGUAGAGCACUGUUUCGGCAAGGGGGUCAUCCCGACUUACCAACCCGAUGCAAACUGCGAAUACCGGAGAAUGUUAUCACGGGAGACACACGGCGGGUGCUAACGUCCGUCGUGAAGAGGGAAACAACCCAGACCGCCAGCUAAGGUCCCAAAGUCAUGGUUAAGUGGGAAACGAUGUGGGAAGGCCCAGACAGCCAGGAUGUUGGCUUAGAAGCAGCCAUCAUUUAAAGAAAGCGUAAUAGCUCACUGGUCGAGUCGGCCUGCGCGGAAGAUGUAACGGGGCUAAACCAUGCACCGAAGCUGCGGCAGCGACACUAUGUGUUGUUGGGUAGGGGAGCGUUCUGUAAGCCUGUGAAGGUGUGCUGUGAGGCAUGCUGGAGGUAUCAGAAGUGCGAAUGCUGACAUAAGUAACGAUAAAGCGGGUGAAAAGCCCGCUCGCCGGAAGACCAAGGGUUCCUGUCCAACGUUAAUCGGGGCAGGGUGAGUCGACCCCUAAGGCGAGGCCGAAAGGCGUAGUCGAUGGGAAACAGGUUAAUAUUCCUGUACUUGGUGUUACUGCGAAGGGGGGACGGAGAAGGCUAUGUUGGCCGGGCGACGGUUGUCCCGGUUUAAGCGUGUAGGCUGGUUUUCCAGGCAAAUCCGGAAAAUCAAGGCUGAGGCGUGAUGACGAGGCACUACGGUGCUGAAGCAACAAAUGCCCUGCUUCCAGGAAAAGCCUCUAAGCAUCAGGUAACAUCAAAUCGUACCCCAAACCGACACAGGUGGUCAGGUAGAGAAUACCAAGGCGCUUGAGAGAACUCGGGUGAAGGAACUAGGCAAAAUGGUGCCGUAACUUCGGGAGAAGGCACGCUGAUAUGUAGGUGAAGCGACUUGCUCGUGGAGCUGAAAUCAGUCGAAGAUACCAGCUGGCUGCAACUGUUUAUUAAAAACACAGCACUGUGCAAACACGAAAGUGGACGUAUACGGUGUGACGCCUGCCCGGUGCCGGAAGGUUAAUUGAUGGGGUUAGCGGUAACGCGAAGCUCUUGAUCGAAGCCCCGGUAAACGGCGGCCGUAACUAUAACGGUCCUAAGGUAGCGAAAUUCCUUGUCGGGU